GCAGUGGGGGUUGUUGGGGCCCAGUCGCCCAGACCUAGCCUUCACCGGACAUCCCUCCCUCCUCUUCUCGGGGAGUGGUGCUCCCUGCGCUGCCCAUUCUCGGAUAAGACCUAGCCUUCACCGGACAUCCCUCCCUCCUCUUCUCGGGGAGUGGUGCUCCCUGCGCUGCCCAUUCUCGGAUAAGGUUCCGAGGGGUCACCCCAUCAUUCUCGAAGGCCUGGAAGGAGAGGAUAUGGAUGUGGAGCAAUGGCAGCUCAUCGAGGGAGCAUCUGCUAGAGCUGACAAAGGUCUAGAGACUAUUGAGCGCUGCCUCGACAAUUUCGAGGAGGCGAUGUUGAUAGCCUGCACUAUGAUGAUGUGGGACCUGCUCCCCAUCGGCCAGCGCCUAUUUUAUCGAUCGAUGGCACAGAGGGAGGUGUUGCUAACUGCAUGACAGAAGGUGGAGCAGCUGCAUGCGGAGGUCUCCCAUUCGGAGGAGAGAAAGCACGAGCUCGCCUCACUUCGUGCUGAGGCUGAAAGGCUUUGUGGAGAGGUGAUGUGCUUGCGCACGCAACGUAGCGAGCGCGGAGCAGCGCGAACCUCCUUCGAGAGGAGAGGGGCCAUCUUCAGGGGGACAUGCAUGAGUUGAAUCAUUGGGCCAAGGAGGCCGAGUGGACCCUGAGGGUGGAAAAUGCUUGCCUAGAGGAGGCAAACUUGGAGCUCUCAAGAGAGCGCAAGGCGGUCGAAGAGCUCCAGAAAAUGUUCUCUAAUGCCCAAGACACCGGGAAAGUGGUGGAGGAGCUGAAGAAGGCGACGGAGGACGAGAUGUGCAAGCCCGCGCUUGCCGAUGAUGAUGUUGUCGCCACACAGGUCCAGGGAGAGAACUCGCUCUUAGAGUGAAGCACGGAGCGUUAGGCUCUUCGGCUAGCUAUGGGCACGGUGUGUGCCCACCUCUCUCCUCUGACACCGAUCAUGGUUCGUCUGAUCAAUUGGCUGCAUGCGAUGCCCUGCCACGUGGAGCGCGUCGUCGUCGAAGGUGCGUUCCACUGGAGCAGCAUGGCCAUUGGGCAGAUGGUCUCCAACUUCGAUGAGAUUGAUGCCACUGUGAUCGUGGAGGGCUUUGCUGCUGGCCGUAGCGAUGAGGAGUUGGAUGACAUUGAAGAACAAGUACGCCCUCAUGCCUGGUCGAUCGCGAGCCUUAUUGACACGAAGUUCAUUCUGACCCGGCCUCCAAAUCCAUGAAGCAUUAGGCGAGCCCUAGUCAUCUUCAGUUCUUUUGUAAAUGAACUUAGACGAUGGAGCUGAAUGAAUGUUGUGCUUUUAUUUUAAUGUUAUUUUGCUAGUGAGUCCU